UUUAACAUGAAACUAUGCAUUCUUGGCCCUAGUAAACCUCAGUGGGAGUCAUAGAUAGCAUAAGGGUAUGGCAUGCCAUAUACAGUUUAGCAGUACUGCACCCUAAUGGGCUACAUGAUAUGAAAUUUUCGACACAUUACGUGUCAUACAGUUUUUCGGCUUUUUAGCCAUACAGGCACAGCAUUCGGCCCCCAGGCCAUACAGUUUGGCACUUUGUGCUAUACAGAUACAGUUUUCCCUUAUCUAGCUAGUUGAUCCUACGAAGAGUUUAUAGGGGCUAAGAUUUAAUUAUAUGACUUGUUAAUGCUUUGCUAGCAUGCACACAAGAUGGUUACCAGAAUAUGAAUGACUUUACUGUUAUAAAAUUUCAUGACCUGAUUUGUCCACUUUUCACCCACUGAUACAUAAAAUUUCACUU
rnacentral:lncRNA from 1 species